UCUGUUGUUCUUUUGAUUAGAAGUCUUAGGGCAUGAAAGGGAAAAUAUUAGCUAAUGUCGUCUUAUCAAGAAGGAUGAUAAGCUAUAUCUAUUGCUAGAAGAAUGACAGAAAGACCAGUUGAGGUGGAUGAAUCUCCAGUCCAUUUGCUUGGUUCUACAAAGUAAGAUUAGUCAAAAUGUACACAAACAUGAGUUAUUUACUUCUUUGUAGUUUUAGUUUGUAAAUUAGUAAGUUAUUUUCUUUUUGAAUACCAAUGAGGCAGAGAAUGGGAUUAAGAAACCAGAAUGCUGCAAAAAAAUUUAGGUCCAGAAUGCUAUUUGGAAAGGAAAAUGUCAAGAAAGUAUUUCAAUGGAGCCAUCUCAGUCUUAAGAAUCUCUCUGCUUGCUCCUAUCUUUGCCUGCAAGAUCAAUCCUUCAAUAUGUGUGGUCAGCAAAUUCACUUUGCACAACUUUGAAGUGAUCUGAGCGCCAGAUUCACUUUAAGAUGAAUUUGGUAUCUUUGGUCUGUCCAAUUUGGAGUUGCUCAUCAAAGAGAGGUGAAUACUUCCUUUAUCAUGAUCAUUUCUACAUAUCAAUUGAUCUUUACACUUUUACUUUUUGAAUAGCCAUGUUUGUUCAUUCAAAUUGUCAUGAAAUACUUUAU